rnacentral:rRNA from 1 species
UACGGGGGGGGGGCAAGCGUUUGUUCGGAAUUACUGGGCGUAAAGGGCUCGUAGGUGGCCAACUAAGUCAGACGUGAAAAUCCCCUCGGCUUAACCGGGGGAACUGCGUCUGAUACUGGAUGGCUUGAGUUCGGGGAGAGGGAUGCGGAAUUCCAGGUGUAGCGGUGAAAAUGCGUAGAUAUCUGGAGGAACACCGGUGGCGAAGGCGGCAUCCUGGACCAAUAUUGACGCUGAGGAGCGAAAAGCCAGGGGGAGCAAACGGG